rnacentral:rRNA from 1 species
GGCAGCAGGUAUAACACAUGCAAAACGAGAGGAAAAAGGUAGCUUGCUACCUAACCUAAGCGGGCGGAAGGGUGAGAAAUGAUUGGGAAUCUGCCUAUUAAGUGGGAGACUACAUUUCCGAAAGAAAAGCUAAUACCCGCAUACGCACCUACGGGGGGAAAGCAGGGGAUCUUUCGGACCUUGCGAUAAUAGAUGAGCAAAAGUCAGAUUAGAUAGUUGGUGGAUAAAGGCCUAACAAGGAGAAUAUCUGUAGCGGAUCUGAGAGGAUUAUCCGCCACACUGGGUGUGAGACACGGCCCAGACUCCUACGAGAGGCAGCAGUGGGGAAUAUUGGACAAUGGGCGCAAGCCUGAUCCAGCCAUGCCGCGUGUGUGAAGAAGGCCUUUUGGGUGCAAAGCACUUUAAGCGAGGAGGAGGCUACUUGGAUUAAUACUCUAGGAUAGUGGACGUUACUCGCAGAAUAAGCACCGGCUAACUGUGUGCCAGCAGCCGCGGUAAUACAGAGGGUGCGAGCGUUAAUCGGAUUUACUGGGCGUAAAGCGUGCGUAGGCGGCUUUUUAAGUCGGAUGUGAAAUCCCUGAGCUUAACUUAGGAAUUGCAUUCGAUACUGGGAAGCUAGAGUAUGGGAGAGGAUGGUAGAAUUCCAGGUGUAGCGGUGAAAUGCGUAGAGAUCUGGAGGAAUACCGAUGGCGAAGGCAGCCAUCUGGCCUAAUACUGACGGUGAGGUACGAAAGCAUGGGGAGCAAACAGG